UUUACCUACGGGGGGCAGCAGUGAGGAAUAUUGGUCAAUGGGCGGGAGCCUGAACCAGCCAAGUCGCGUGAGGGAUGACGGCCCUAUGGGUCGUAAACCUCUUUUGCCGGGGAGCAAGGGCGGGGACGUGUCCCGGCCCGGAGAGUACCCGGAGAAAAAGCAUCGGCUAACUCCGUGCCAGCAGCCGCGGUAAUACGGAGGAUGCGAGCGCUAUCCGGAUUUAUUGGGUUUAAAGGGUGCGUAGGCGGGCUUUUAAGUCAGCGGUAAAAAUUCGGGGCUCAACCCCGUCCGGCCGUUGAAACUGG
rnacentral:rRNA from 1 species